AGUGUCGUCACGGCCCGCCAGUGUACACACGACUUUACUCACAUGCAGCUGUUGUCACGGACUGCACCCGUGCCGUGACAUAGGCUCGUGCUGUGCUUUUAUGGCGUGACCCUGCGGUACUACGUGGUCGUGCCCAGGUCUCAUUGUGUUGUGUGCCCAUGCUAUGGCGUGUGUGGUGUAAGCUUGGUCGGGCCAGCAACCAGUACCGCCGGUCCUGUGGGAAUGUGUGCUAUAUCCUGCUGGCUCCUUGUGCUCGCUCCACACGGCCACUUUGCACUCUGUCUCUUGCGUUGAACUAGUGAACAACUUGUGAACAUGCGUCGAGUUUUUCUUGUGAUAAAAUCUCCUCCAGAGGUUUCUGUCGGCAAGUAUGAUCUUGCUAAGUGUGUGUAAAGUCACAGGAGUAGGAACAGUGUCUUAGACUCUACAGCCGCUAGUCAAAAUGAGUAGCGCACGUGCAAAUAUACGUGCACGGGCGGCAAGGGCCUGCACCGUGCUAGCCGAGGCAGGCGAGCGUACCUAUGGGCGUGUUGCGGGCGCGACGAGGGCGCCCUUCAGCACUGCGGCGGCAAAUUUACGUCUGCUCAGCAAAAUCCAUGUAAAGUUACCCCGACCUACCCUCUCAGGGGCCAAGAAGCGGUCGCCGCCCGUGGGUGCGGAACAGCCACAGGCGCCCACGCCCACCACCAGCGCUGACCUCGCCCCCACGCCCGUGCCUGGCUCUCGUCCUCGCCGCCUAACUGGAGCCCAGCUGAUGUCAAGGGGCCGCAGUGCCCUCAGGGGCGGACUGAGGGCGGCAGCGAAGGCGGCAAGGAAACCACCAAGGGCGGCCCUUGGGGUGGUGCGGGCGGUGGCGCGCCGGAAAAAGGGCGACCCUCCGCCCCAACAGGAUUCUUCAGGAGAGCCUUCGUCCAGCACGAUUGUGACAACAGAUCGAGACAUUAUGAAGAAAGAGCUGAAGAAGGUGACCCGUGAGAGGGAUGAUGCCGUGAGUCGUCUCAAUGCUGUAAGUCAGUCAGACCAGCCUGCUAACUAUGGAACUUUAAGCAAACAUGGAGUAUCAGUGAGUGACAAAAGCUUAUCAACACCUCGAGAUUAUGAAUCCAUCAAACUGCAGUGUGAAAAAGCUAUGGCUGAGGUCCAGGGACUCCUGAAGCAAAAUGUGGAUUUGACAAGGAAGUACGAGAACUGCAUGAAAGAAGUCGACUACUACAAAAAGCAGGAAAGAGCUGCUUAUACUGCUUUACAGAAUUUGAGAAUGCAAUAUGAAGAGGUUGUGGCAGAGAAACAAAAAUUGGAGCGUGAGGUCACUUCAUUGCAAACGAUAAUGGAAGACGAUCGAAAAGAGAUCGCUGACCUUCGGCGGCAACAGCAGGAAGCUAUGUCACAAGAAGGAUCAGGAGAGGCCAUCAACCAGCUAUACAUGACCACCAUGCGCAAGUACGAAGCCAUCAAGGAUGAAUAUGACUCAAUUAGAAAGAGGUACUCGGAUCUUGUUGCCUCACAUUCCAACAACAUUUCUAAACUGGAACUCACACAGGAAGAAGUAUCUCGCUUGAAGAAGCAGUAUGAUGAAGUUUUGCGUGAGUGUAAUGAGGCAGUGCGAGAGAAGAACUGCCUCAAACAGCAGUGUACCAAAGCAAUCACAGAAUGGGAUUCUGCACUCAGGGAGAAGAACAAACUGCAGGAAGAACUGCUCAAGAUUCGUGAGAAGUAUGAUGAGAUGAUGAAGGAGAUGAACACACAUUUGAUGCAGAGACAGCAUCUAAAUAAAGAUCUCAAAAGAUUACAGGAGGAGAGGAAUGCAGCGAUGCAAGAAUACACAUUAGUAAUGAGUGAACGUGACACUGUGCACAAGGAAAUGGACAAGCUGCAGGAGGAACUCUCUCAGGCCAGUAAAAAGAUCAAGACAAUUGAACAGAGCACUAAUGACUCAACGAAAGAGCGGGAAUCACUUCUUCUUCAAAUAGAAAUGCUCAAGAGGGAAAUUGCAGCAUCUCUUCACGACCGUGAUAAGGCAAUUAAGGAAUGUAAUGACCUCCGAGAACGUUUUGGUGCCAAAGAGGACACUAACAAGGAGUGGGAAGGCUCUUAUAAGGAUCAUGACAACUAUAAGCAGGAAAGAGAAAUGACUUUGAAAGAGGGACCAGAUUUAGAUUCUAGCUCGCACAAUAUGUAUUCCAAGGCUCAGAAAGAACGCCUGGAUAAUUUAGAUCAAGCCAAUCAAGAAAUUGAUAGACUAAGAAAAACAAUUGAAAAGUUGCAGAGUGAGUUACAAGAGGCACAACAAGAGGCAGAAGUAUCCAAGCGGCGGCGUGACUGGGCUUUCAGUGAGCGAGACAAAAUUGUUCAAGAGAGAGAGUCAAUUCGUGCUCACUGUGAUAAGUUGAGGAGGGAGAGAGACAGAGCUGUGUCCGAAUUGGCUGAAGCUCUUAGGGACUCAGAUGACAUGAAAAAACAACGUAAUGAAGCCUCCAAGGAAUUAAAGGAACUGAAAGAAAGACUUGAGGCAGAACAGGAAAAGGCAGCUGUUGUCCGUCAGUUGGCAGCUCAUAAUCACUCAAGAGAUUCAGCAAUUGACACUGAUAUGCAAGAAUGGGAAACUGAUAUUCUUCAUUUGCCAAUUAAAUUUUGCUUUCAGGGUGUUGUAUCUGAACGCGAUGUUGGGUUUGUUGUUGCUGGAGGUGCAGAUGACCCACACUACGGAGGGAAUGAUGGAGCCAUAUACGUCACACACAUUGCCAAAGAUGGUCCUUUCGAAGGGAAACUCAGGCUACAUGACCAAAUAAUUAAUGUGAAUGGAGUAGACUGCCAAAGAGUUCAUCGUUCAAGUGUUUAUGCUGCUGUUGUUAAUGGCGGUGGUUGGGUACAGAUGACAGUCAGACGCAGACGAAGUGGUGGCCGCAGCCUUCACACAGUGCAUCUACACUGUCCCCACACUGCACAUCAUGGAUUGACACUGCACACAGGGGUAUACAUAGCAAACAUCUUGCCUGGAAGCCCAGCUGCAAGAGAGAGUAAUUUAGCUGUGGGUGACAGAGUGCUCAAUAUAAAUGGGAAGCCAGUAGAUAAUAUUGGAAGCUGUGAGGAGGCACAGUGUUUGUUAGAUGCUGCAGGGGAGGUAGUUCAGCUAACAACAUUGAAGUCCCAUGGAUCAUCCUCCUUGUCAGAUCCUCUCAGCUCCUCCUCAAGUGGCCAUAACAUCACUGAGGAUGACAAGUCGACAUCCUCCUCACGGCCAUACUCCUCCCCCACUUCUCCGUCCAAGGAGACAGGGGUCAGCCCAGGGCGCUCAGGAAGCAGGGAACUGGUGAAGAAACUGAUGCCAGGAUCAGGAGGAUCCCAUAGUGAAGACGGUAGUUGCAAGAGAUAUGGAAGCAGUGAAAAGGUAGUUUAUAAUGUAACAAAGGCAGCUGGAGAUAAAGGCUCAGGGACUGGACCUUUUGAUCUUUUCAAGAACAUGGUGAAACCUAGAAGACACAGUAAAGAACGAGCUGAAGAAAGAAGUGAGAGUAGAGAAAAAGAUGAAAAGAAGAAGCACUUAACAUCUGUCUUGGAUCAUGAAGCAGAAAGUGCUAUAGCUCAAUUAGAUUCUGUAAAUAAUUCGUAUCAUCAUAAGAGUGGCAGCAAUGGAGGGACAAGUACAACCAAGAGAUCCAAAAAGAGGGAGAAAGAUAAGUCUGGAGGCACUUGGCCCAAAUACAGAGGUGGGGGAGUGAGUACCAGGGAUGCAAAUAGCAGCACAAUUAUGUACACAGAAAGGAAAAGAGAAAGACCGCAGCUCACUGUGUUCUUUCCAAACCCCAUGACUUCCCAGUAUUCAUGCGAAGACAAACCUUACGAAAGUUACCACCACGACAGAUACAUGAGCUCUAGAUCAAGUCCUAGAGGUACACCAACUAGUCCACGGAGUCAGCAGCUUUCCCCCUAUAAUAAAAGUGUGGAUAUAAGUGGAAAACCAUCAUAUAGUAGUGCAUCCCAAGUUUAUUCCAGUCCACAGUCCAGUAGUAAUGUAUAUCCCAGUCAAGAAGUAUAUUCUAAUGUAGGUCCACACAACACUUCUAUUGAAAGAAAAAGUGAGGAUUCAGAAAGAGAUAGAGAUCGCCUAAGUUCCCUCACAUCUGAUACAUCACUUGAUUUCUCUGUGAAAUCAGGGAAAGUUGGCAAGGCAGAGCUGGAGUACUAUGUAAAAAAGAAUAUUCUGAAGUAUCCUCCAAGUGAUAGUGAGAGCAUAGACAACACUCUUCAAAUCAGUCAACCGCCUGUGUAUGGUACGAGACCAUCCCCUCUGCAUCAUGGGGGUGACCGCACUCCCAACUCACGCAUUCCUCACCCUCAUUCGGGGCUUUAUUCUCCACCAAAUCCACCUUUAAGAUCACCUCAAGGAUUUGCUCCUUACCCUCAUUUGUCACAUUUCUCCCUCAGUCAUCCUCACCAGUAUCCUCAUAGUUCAGUAGGCUCCUCAAUAUCUGCCGUCUCUCCACGCUACUCAUCGCCUCCCACCUUGCCUGUGGUUCCCUCACACUACCUGUCUCAAUCUAGGAGUGGAGAUAGCAUUUUUCCCUCUGGACUGGAACGUGAUCCCCGGGAUGGUCGGGGGUAUUAUGAAAGCCGUCAGGCAUCCUCUCCCACACCAGUUGGUAUGAUUGGGACUGUAAGUGGUGGAGUUUUCUGUCACUCUCCUUCCCCAUCACUAGAGUUGCCUGGCCAUCACAAACCCCGAACUCUUCAUCAUCUUCAUCCAUACCGUCCAACAGCUGAUGAUCAUCCACUGCUUCCUCACCACUCAUGUCCUCCGUCUUACCAUGAUUCUCAACGCUUCACGGGUACCAUGCCUCGCAAAAAAGAAGAUGAACGAAUCAGAAUACCAAGCAAUGCAAGUGUUGCAAGCAAGAGCAGUGGAGGGAAAGGGAGCAGCUUAGAGAGAACAUCAGAGAGAGGAUCCCCAAUGCCUUUUACUUGUUCCGUGGAGACGGUUGGUGGGGGUGGAGUGUCAGCAAGAGGACAACACAUCACUCACAUCACACACUCGGUGCACAACCCCCAUUAUCCUGACUAUACUUGGCAGAAGAGACCACAUCCAGGAGAAAUUAGAAAUAUUGACAUAGAGAAGUCUGCAGAGCCUCUGGGCAUCCAAAUUCGUUGUUUAGAGAAUGGGGGUGUUUUUGUCUCUGCAGUAACACUUAAUUCACUUGCUUCCCAGGUUGGGUUGUGUGUUGGAGACCAGUUAUUAGAGGUCUGUGGAAUCAAUCUGAGAUCAGCUACGAAGCAGUCAGCCUCAACAGUACUUUCUCAGUGUGGCACAUCUGUUACCAUGUUAGUCCAAUAUAAUCCAGAAAAAUACCAAGAAGCGGAAGGUUGGGUAGGCAGCAGCAGCAGCAGCAGUGUCGGAGGUUCUCGCUCGGGCACCCCAACCCCUCGCAACUCUCCCAAACCAACCUCGCAUGACUCUCCCCAUUCUGUAGAUGAUGAUAACAUGCCCCCGUCAUCUACAUCUACUCUGCGGAGCCCACUGGAUCUUCGUGACACUCUUGACCAUUCCCUUGAUCAUUCCUUGUCGCCUUCUGCUAGAUCCACACUCACCCGUCCUGAAAUUGCACAUGUGAUGAAUUCACUUAAAAGGGAAACAUUUUCAAGGCGUAGUGAGAAUGGUGGUGUUGGUAACAGUAAUGGUGGUGUUAGUAGUGGAGGCAGUAAUCCUGGAGCAAGCAGUGGAGGAAGUGGAGUCAGCCCUAAUAAUGCAAGUGCAGAACCGAGACUGGUGUAUUUGGAGCUUAAUAAAUCCCACAAUUUAGGAAUACAGAUGGUUGGGGGAAAUGCUCUGGGGAUCUUUGUCCAUGCUGUUCCUCCAGACUCCCCGGCAGCUAAAGCUGGGCUCCGUCCCGGUGACCACAUCCUUGAGUACAAUGGAGUGGAUCUCCGACAUGCUACUGCUGAACAAGCUGCCUUUGAGCUUGCGAAACCUGCUGAUAAUGUCAAAAUGCUAGUGCAGUACAAUUACCAAAGAUAUGAAGAAAUUCAGGAUAAACCUGGUGACAGCUUCUAUAUACGUGCAUUGUUUGAUCGAUUGGGUGACGCUGGAGAUUCUACUGAUCUUCGCUUUCGAAAAGAAGACAUUUUAUAUGUAGAUAACACUAUGUUUAACAAUGUGCCUGGUCAGUGGCGAGCGUGGGUUGUGGAUGAAGACGGACAGAAAAGACAAUGUGGAACAGUUCCAAGCAAAGACAAAGUCUACACCGAUGCAUGAAGAGCCUGUUCCACACUCCUACAUCAGAGUGGAAAGGCUAGACUAUCUGGUGCGUCGUCCAGUGGUGAUGGUGGGUCCACUGUGGGAAAUAGUCUGUGACAAACUGGUUCAUGAUUAUCCACACAAUUUUACAAGAUGUGUGCCAGAGGUCAGUUGGCUCUCCUGUGAUGAGAUGGAGACUGCAGUCCAGAAGAACCUGAUUGUAGACUACCGGCGGAGGGGAUCUCACUUUGAGGCAACAACUGUCAGUCAAGUGAAAGAAAUAUGUGAUAAGAGUUGCCAUGGAAUACUGGACAUCAGCCUUUCAUCCGUGGAACGUUUGCACCGCCACAAUAUAUACCCCAUCGUCUUGCUGCUCAAGUUCCGCCAUCAUAAGCAGAUCCGUGAAGUCUGUGAUUCGCACCUGACUUCUUCGGAAAGGAUCUCACAAAAAGAAGCCAAAGAGAUGUUUGAACUGGCUAACAAAAUGGAACAAGAAUAUAAGCAUGUUAUAUCAGCUGUGAUCCCUGCCGCAGUCAACAUGCCGUACAUCAGUACUCAAGUGAAGUCGUGUGUGGACCAAGAACAAUCCAAAACUCUUUGGGUGCCUUCAGGGAGCCUUUGACUCUCCCCAGUACAGAGUGAAAGAGCUGUUAUAUUUUGCAAAGAAUAAUAUCCUGGCUGAUUGGUUCGAAGCCACACAUUAUGCCACUGAUGCUGGUGAUUUAUGGCAUGUGACCCUUAGAGGACCUGAGAGAAUAUAUUCAAUUUCUAGCAAUGUGUCUUGUACUACUCAAACUUACCCUGAAAUUCCAUGAUUUUUUAAAAGGUAGCAUAUCUGGUUUUAAUACAUGUGGAAGAUUUUUGAUUUAUUCACAAUAUAAGAUUAUUUUUGUUGUUUGUUACACAGCAAUUUCUAUUUUUUGUUACUGGACCAAGCCCAAGAAGUACAAAAUAUCACCCAAUAUGGUUAUAUUUGUGCUGUAACAUUUUGAUCUUUGAAAAGUGUAAUGUUGUUAAGUCAAAAUAUGCGAUAACGUGUAGAUAUUACCUUUUUGAAAGGUGUUUAAUAUGGAAUGAUGAUAAUCCUUCAGAGGAAGGAAUCAGUAGGCCUGCCUGUGACAGGUGUCUUCCCUAUACCAAAGAGGUUUUAAGACAGUGAAGGAGACGGUAUCUGGUGGAUGCAACAAGCUACAUUACAUGUAGCUGCCUGCUGUGGCAGCAAUUGUCAGUAGACAAUAUUCCUUCUCACUUGUGCCUUAAUGGAGCUGGUGAGUGGCCUGUGUUUUGGCUUUAUAUCACUAAUUGGACCACCCACUUGCAGGUGCACAUGUCACUGACUUGAUAUUGGCCUCUCCUGAUCUCAGGUAUCACCAUGGCCUGGCUCUCAAUUACUUAGUGAACAGCAGUCAUCAUUAUUACAGUCUACUGGAAGCUUUACCCUUACCUUGUUAAGGAAGUUAUUGUUAUUGACCUACUAGACAUUUUCAAAAUUCAGUGAAAGCCGUAAACUAGACACUUCCAGAUUUUGGUGAAUGCAGGAAAAUAAAAUUUUAGAGCAGUACAAGCUGCAGAAGGUGCAACUAUGAGAUUAGCUUUGAGGUAUUUGAAAUCUGUGAUUUCAAGGUCACUCUGGUAUUUGUAGGAACCCUUGUGUCUUCCUUGUAGAGUAUGUUAUACCACCUUUCAGUUGUCUGAAAGUGUUUUGAAUGUAAAUUUUAAAAGCUGUAUCCACAUAAAAGUUCCACUUGAUCUGUUUACUUCCAUUUUGGUGCAUUGAUAGAGGUUAUUUACUGUUAGCUUUGUGGAAGAUCAGUUUUCAUAGUAUUUUUGAAAGAUGCUUUCACUUGUAUGUAGAAUUUAUUUAUUUCAUGUUUACAUUCAGAAGUAGAAGAAAUAGUAUACCCUAUUAAAUAUAAGCACUAACCUAUGGUGUUAGGUGUUCGUUGAGACUCAUGAAUUUGAUGUAUGAUCAGAUCAUUUUAAAAAUAUGAAUAAUAUCCCAUCAACUUGACUGAUCCAGCUGAAUUUAAAUCAUACUUCUUGGGGUGUUCCCAUUCCUGUCUUUCAUACUGUAACUUAGCCUGUAUAUGCAAGUGUACUUGCAAUGAUAUGUUAGUCCUUUUUGACUGACACUUCUUGCCCUCAACCUUGUUAUUACAAAGUUCUUGGCAACAUUUACUUUGAAAUAUGGAGAGAAUUGCCUGGAUUACAACGAUUUUACAUAUUCAUAUAUUGUGUUGUUGACUGAGGCUUACUAGGAGUGGUUUAUAUUUUGUAUGUACACCAUGUUAUAGUCUUGUAUAUUACUGUAAUAUAUCUACAGAUGUAA
rnacentral:misc_RNA from 1 species